rnacentral:tRNA from 1 species
CGGGAUGUAGCGCAGUUUGGUAGCGCACUUCGUUCGGGACGAAGCUGUCGCAGGUUCGAAUCCUGUCAUCCCGA